AGUUUGCAAUUCUGAAGACCGAAUUAGCCUUCGCUUAGUUGGGUGAUUCGUGUCGGAUUUGGAUUAGAGUAAUGUGUACUUGUCUUUAAUCUGGGAUAGGAAGCAUAGUAAUUGAGUUAAUGACCAACCGUUUUAUUUUGUAUUUGAUUCCGUUUUGCAUUUCUAUUUUUCCAUUUUUGUUUGCAUCUGUGGUUAAAUUAUAUUCAUCUGCAUUCACAAACCUUUCACAACCCCCCCCCACUUCGUGUUAAAUCUAAUUCUCGAACCACAUUUGGUCCUUGAGAGACGACCUAGGAGUCACUUCCUAGUACUAUAUUGCAUUCUUUAUGCACAUUAAAUUUGCAUGGGGUGCGACACCCAUCAAAAUUUUGGCGCCGUUGUCGGGGACCAAUGGUUCGGUUUUAGGUCUUUUGUUGUGUUAGUGUGUGUUGUUUUUUGUCUUGUGUUGUGAGUGUGUUGUUCUGUUUUGUGUGUGGUGUCAGGUGUUGUUGCAUUUAGGUAGCUUUAGUUGAAUAUUUUUACUGCAUUCUUCUUUUCCCCCUUUCUCCCUUUCUACAUGUCUACCUAUUUUGGCUAUGUGAGUAAUUCUUAUUCUGCCUGUGUCUAUGAUUCUCCUCCUGCUUGUUACUCUGAUUAUGGUUCUCCUGCUGAAUUUUAUGAUGAGAACAAUAUGACUCAUCCUCC
rnacentral:lncRNA from 1 species